AAGUCGUAACAAGGUAUCCGUAGGUGAACCUGCGGAUGGAUCAUUACCAAUUUAUAUAUAUGUUAGUUUGUAUACCGCUGUCAAAGGGGGUUAUACACAACUACUAUGUAAACGUUGAACUAGAUCAAUUGGUGUGGAUUGCUUGGGAAUGGACGAAGCGAUGAGCCUCUUCCGGACAGGCAAGCCCCACACUGAUAACCUUUUUCAUAUCAUUUACUCGUAUAUACUACCACAACAACAAAAACAAAAGCUAUAAUAGGACUUAUUAAUGGCUGAGUGGGUAACAUCCUCGGCUUAAACAUAUAACUAUUACAACUUUCAGCAAUGGAUCUCUAGGCUCUC
rnacentral:misc_RNA from 1 species